GGAUGUGAGGGCGAUCUGGCUGCGACAUCUGUCACCCCAUUGAUCGCCAGGGUUGAUUCGGCUGAUCUGGCUGGCUAGGCGGGUGUCCCCUUCCUCCCUCACCGCUCCAUGUGCGUCCCUCCCGAAGCUGCGCGCUCGGUCGAAGAGGACGACCUUCCCCGAAUAGAGGAGGACCGGUCUUCGGUCAAGGGUAUACGAGUAGCUGCGCUCCCCUGCUAGAACCUCCAAACAAGCUCUCAAGAAUCCGGAUUGACCUCUGGCUUUCACACACGCACAUGCACACACACACCUACAU
rnacentral:snRNA from 1 species